rnacentral:SRP_RNA from 1 species
CCCAGGCACCCUGGCCUGUGCCUGUAGUCCCAGCUAUUUUGGAGGCUGAGGCUGGAGGAUCUCUUGAGUCCAGGAGUUCUGGGCUGUAGUGCGCUAUGCUGAUUGGGUGUCUGCACUAAGUUCAACAUCAAUAUGGUGACCUCCCAGGAAUGGCAGACCAGCAGGUUGCCUAAGGAAAGGUGAAACGGCCCAGGUCGGAAGCAGAGCAGGUCAAAACUCCCAUGCUGAUCAGUAGUGAGAUUGUGCCUGUGAAUAUCCACUGCCCUCCAGCCUGGGCAACAUAGCGAGACCCCAUCUCU